rnacentral:rRNA from 1 species
GAACGGCGGCGCCGCAUUAGACAUACUGUGGGUGGCGAGUGGCGGACGGGUGAGGAAUACAUCGGGACCUGCCCAGACGUGGGGGAUAACGUAGGGAAACUUACGCUAAUACCGCAUACGUCCUACGGGAGAAAGCGGGGGAUCUUCGGACCUCGCGCGGUUGGAUGGACCGAUGUUCGAUUAGCUAGUUGGUGAGGUAAUGGCUCACCAAGGCGACGAUCGAUAGCUGGUCUGAGAGGAUGAUCAGCCACACUGGGACUGAGACACGGCCCAGACUCCUACGGGAGGCAGCAGUGGGGAAUAUUGGACAAUGGGCGCAAGCCUGAUCCAGCAAUGCCGCGUGUGUGAAGAAGGCCUUCGGGUUGUAAAGCACUUUUAUCAGGAGCGAAAUGCCAUUGGUUAAUACCCGGUGGAGCUGACGGUACCUGAGGAAUAAGCACCGGCUAACUUCGUGCCAGCAGCCGCGGUAAU